UUGGUAGAGGAGCAUUCUUAAAACCGACGAAGCUGUACCGGUAAGGAGCAGUGGAGGGAUAAGAAGAGAGAAUGCCGGAAUGAGUAGCGAGAGGAAGGUGGGAAUCCUUCUGGCCGAAUAUCUAAGGUUUCCAGAGUAAAGCUGAUCUGCUCUGGGUAAGUCGGGGCCUAAGGAGAGGUCGCAAGACGUAUCCGAUGGACAACAGGUUUAGAUUCCUGUACCGCAUAUAAACAGAACUGUGGGGACGCAUGUGGAAAGCAUAAGCCGGGAAUGGAAAGACCGGUACAAGCGAGGUAGGUGUGUGACAGGCAAAUCCGUCACAUAAGCCGAAGACGUGAUGUGGAGCGAAAUUAAGUAGUGAAGUAUGUGAGUCAUGUGCCGAGAAAAGCCGCUAUUGUUUUAUAUGUGCCCGUACCGUAAACCGACACAGGUGGAUGAGGAGAGAAUCCUAAGGCCGACGGAAGAAGCAUUGUUAAGGAAUUCGGCAAAAUGACCCCGUAACUUCGGGAGAAGGGGUGCCCACUGAAUGGUGGGCCGCAGAGAAUAGGCUCAAGCAACUGUUUAGCAAAAACACAGGUCUAUGCGAAACCGAAAGGUGAAGUAUAUGGGCUGACGCCUGCCCGGUGCUGGAAGGUUAAGAGGAGAGGUUAGCGCAAGCGAAGCUUUGAAUUUAAGCCCCAGUAAACGGCGGCCGUAACUAUAACGGUCCUAAGGUAGCGAAAUUCCUUGUCGGGUAAGUUCCGACCCGCACGAAAGGCGUAAUGAUUUGAGCACUGUCUCGACAAUGCAUCCGGUGAAAUUGAAGUACCAGUGAAGAUGCUGGUUACCCGCGCCAGGACGGAAAGACCCCAUGGAGCUUUACUCCAGUUUGAUACUGGGAUUCGGUACUGCACGUACAGGAUAGGUGGGAGACUGAGAACUAUGGACGCCAGUCUGUAGGGAGUCGCUGUUGGGAUACCACCCCUGUAGUACUGGGUUUCUAACCAUCUGCCGUGAUCCGGCAGUGGGACAAUGUCAGGCGGGGAGUUUGACUGGGGCGGUCGCCUCCGAAAGGGUAUCGGAGGCGCUCAAAGGUUCCCUCAGAAUGGUCGGAAACCAUUUGAAGAGUGCAAAGGCAGAAGGGAGCUUGACUGCGACACCGACGGGUGGAGCAGGUACGAAAGUAGGACUUAGUGAUCCGGUGGUAUAAAGUGGGAUUGCCAUCGCUCAACGGAUAAAAGCUACCCUGGAUAACAGGCUUAUCACUCCCAAGAGUUCACAUCGACGGAGUGGUUUGGCACCUCGAUGUCGGCUCAUCGCACCCUGGGGCUGUAGCAGGUCCCAAGGGUUGGGCUGUUCGCCCAUUAAAGCGGUACGCGAGCUGGGUUCAGAACGUCGUGAGACAGUUCGGUCCCUAUCCGGCGCGGGCGGAGGAUAUUUGAGAGGAGCUGUCCUUAGUACGAGAGGACCGGGAUGGACGGACCACUGGUGUAUCUGUUGUCGACCAACGGCAUGGCAGAGUAGCCAAGUCUGGAAGGGAUAAACGCUGAAGGCAUCUAAGCGUGAAGCCCCCCUCAAGAUGAGAUAUCCCUCCUUCGGGAGUAAGACCCCUUGAAGACUACAAGGUAGAUAGGGCAGAGGUGGAAGUGUGGCAACACAUGGAGCUGACUGUUACUAAUAGGUCGAGGGCUUGGU
rnacentral:rRNA from 1 species